rnacentral:ncRNA from 1 species
CUUAUCAAGAGUGGUGGAGGGAACGGCCCUGUGAAGCCCGGCAACCUGCGUCUGCAAGGUGCCAAAUCCGGCGGUGAAACGAAAGAUGAG